rnacentral:lncRNA from 1 species
ACUGCUUCUCUUAGUUUCUGAUUAAUCGCCAAAACAUCAAGAAUCCAACCUGUGACUUUCUUGUAAGCAAUUCAUAAUGCAUAUAAACAAUCUUAAUUUGUAACUUAUGCCAUACUUACCUCCAGCCAUUGUUGGGUUGCAAGUCUUUGGUUUCCAAAACUCUAUCUCUCCUUAUGGAUGGUGUAGUUUCUGAAGAUUUUCAGCAGCAUGAGAGAGGAGCUCGGGACCAAGACCGAUAUUUAAAAUACAAAGAAAACGUGGCUUCCCAUCAAAGCCACGUUUCUCUGAUUUGCCACACGAUGAGCAGUUGAGAGAAACGUGCUCCUUAACAGCAGCUACAUGAUGAAGGACGUGGCCAAGUGUUGGACCACUUCAGGGCAGCGGAACGUGGGUGAUUUGAUAACAUUCUCCCACUUGGUCCACACUUUUAACCUCAUGUCCUAUCUUAGAUCAUCAUUUUUCCGCAUUAAGUAACAAAUAUAUGAAUCAUGGCGAUAAGUCCUCUAUAUAACGAGUGUUAUCUUCCAUGUAUUACAAUGUAUUCAUUUCUUAACAUUUUACUUUAUGUGGCAAUAUUGCUUAAUGAAUAAACCCUAUGUUCAUUCUUGGUCCAAUGAAGUUGAAUUUUCUCAAAAUUAAAUAAAGGUGCACAUCAAUAUGAGAAAACAUCAUAAUAAGAGUUUGUACAAUAAAACUACAUAAGGGAACUAAGUCCCAUGUUCAUUACAUGAUCCUUGAAUUUCAACGGUGGCAUGCCCUUAGUCAAAGGAUCAGCAAUCAUCAAUUCAGUGCUAAUGUGCUCAAUAACCACUUUCUUUUCUUUAACACGUUCGCUUAUGGCUAGAUACUUAAUGUCGAUGUGUUUGCUUCGACUUCCACUUUUAUUGUUCUUUGCCAUAAAGACUGCAGCUGAAUUGUCGCAAUAUAUACUCAAUGGCCUAGAUAUUGAAUCCAUAACUCUAAGCCCGGAAAUGAAACUCUUAAGCCAUACACCAUGUGAAGUAGCCUCAAAACAAGAAAUGAACUCAGCUUCCAUAGUAGAAGUAGCAGUCAUGGUCUGCUUAACGCUCCUCCAAGAUAUAGCUCCACCGGCCAAUAUAAAAAUGUAUCCAGAUGUUGAUUUACGUGAAUCAACACAGCCAGCAAAGUCUGAAUCUGAGUAGCCAACUACCUCUAAAUUGCUUGUUCGUCUGUACAUAAACUUGUAAUAUUUGGUUCCUUGAAGAUAUGUCAUCACUUUCUUUGCAGCUUUCCAGUGGUCUAUACCUGGGUUACUCUGAUAUCGUCCUAACAUUCCAACAGCAAAUGCAAUGUCAGGCCUUGUGCAGACCUGAGCAUACAUCAAACUUCCGACUGCAGAAGCAUAUGGAAUGUUCUUCAUUUGUUCCCUCUCAAGAUCGUUUUUCGGGCAUUGGUUCAGAUUGAACCUAUCACCCUUCACUAUAGGAGAAACACUAGGUGAACAAUUCUUCAUCCGAAAUCUCUCUAAAACUUUAUUGAUAUAGGUUUCUUGAGACAAACCUAAGAUACCUUUAAAUCUGUCUCUAUCGAUCUUAAUGCCAAUGACAUAAGAUGCCUCACCCAUAUCCUUCAUGUCGAAAUUUUUAGAGAGGAAUUGUUUCACCUCAUGAAGUAAACCCUUAUCAUUGGUUGCAAGUAAGAUGUCAUCCACGUAUAAAACAAGAAAACAAACUUUACUCCCACUGACCUUAAGGUAUAUGCAUUGAUCCAUAACAUUUUCAACAAAACCAAAUGAAGAAAUUAUGUUAUGGAAUUUUAAAUACCAUUGGCGGGAUGCUUGUUUUAAACCGUAUAUGGAUUUCUUAAGCUUACAAACCAAUUGCUCACCAUCACUAGAGGGGAAUCCUUCAGGUGUUUCAUGUAANNNNNNNNNNNNNNNNNNNNNNNNNNNNNNNNNNNNNNNNNNNNNNNNNNNNNNNNNNNNNNNNNNNNNNNNNNNNNNNNNNNNNNNNNNNNNNNNNNNNGAAGACAACUUCAUUUGUUUGUUUGGAUAACAUGAUGAUGGGAAAGAAAUUAAAGACCCUUUAGUGAAGGUAUUUGCAUUGUCUUCCAUUGGUCCUUGAUAGGCUUUAUUGAAUGAUUAAGCUUUAGAUAAGGAAAGAAUAAAAAGAAGAAGGAGACAAGUAGUGGUUGUGGCAAUCAAGAUGAGACCCAAAAAUGAAUGGUCUACAUGUGAUGUUCCCGAAACUAGGGAAAAUGCAAGGAAGAGAAAAAGCAAAAGAAAAAAUAAAGAAAAAUAAAAAAUAGAUUAAGAGUUGAUAAAUUAUUUUAUUUGCUAAUUCAAACUCAUUUUACUUAUUUUGACUAAUCAAUAUAAAGAUUAAAUAAUUUUAAAAUGCAUAAGUUGUAAGCAAUUCAUAAUGCAUAUAAACAAUCUUAAUUUGUAACUUAUGCCAUACUUACCUCCAGCCAUUGUUGGGUUGCAAGUCUUUGGUUUCCAAAACUCUAUCUCUCCUUAUGGAUGGUGUAGUUUCUGAAGAUUUUCAGCAGCAUGAGAGAGGAGCUUGGGACCAAGACCGAUAUUUAAAAUACAAAGAAAACGUGGCUUCCCAUCAAAGCCACGUUUCUCUGAUUUGCCACACGAUGAGCAGUUGAAAGAAACGUGCUCCUUAACAGCAGCUACAUGAUGAAGGACGUGGCCAAAUGUUGGACCACUUCAGGGCAGCGGAACGUGGGUGAUUUGAUAACAUUCUCCCACUUGGUCCACACUUUUAACCUCAUGUCCUAUCUUAGAUCAUCAUUUUUCCGCAUUAAGUAACAAAUAUAUGAAUCAUGGCGAUAAGUCCUCUAUAUAACGAGUGUUAUCUUCCAUGUAUUACAAUGUAUUCAUUUCUUAACAUUUUACUUUAUGUGGCAAUAUUGCUUAAUGAAUAAACCCUAUGUUC